rnacentral:rRNA from 1 species
AAUUUUGGACAAUGGGGGAAACCCUGAUCCAGCCAUCCCGCGUGUGCGAUGAAGGCCUUUGGGUUGUAAUGCACUUUUGGCAGUGAUGACAGGGUUCUGCCUAAUACCCGGAUCUUCUGACGGUACCUGCAGACUCAGCACCGGCCAACUACGUGCCGGCCGCCGCGGUAAUACGUAGGGUGCAAGCGUUAAUCGGAAUUACUGGGCGUAAAGCGUGCGCAGGCGGUUUGGCAAGAAGGAUGUGAAAUCCCAGGGCUUAACCUUGGAACUGCAUUCUUAACUGCCAGGCUAGAGUAUGUCAGAGGGGGGUAGAAUUCCGCGUGUAGCAGUGAAAUGCGUAGAGAUGCGGAGGAAUACCGAUGGCGAAGGCAGCCCCCUGGGAUAAUACUGACGCUCAUGCACGAAAGCGUGGGGAGCAAACAGG